rnacentral:rRNA from 1 species
AACGAACGCUGGCGGCAUGCCUAACACAUGCAAGUCGAACGAGACCUUCGGGUCUAGUAGCGCACGGGUGCGUAACGCGUGGGAACCUGCCCUUAGGUUCGGAAUAACUCCCCGAAAGGGGUGCUAAUACCGGAUAAUGUCUUCGGACCAAAGAUUUAUCGCCUUUGGAUGGGCCCGCGUUGGAUUAGCUAGUUGGUAGGGUAAAAGCCUACCAAGGCGACGAUCCAUAGCUGGUCUGAGAGGAUGAUCAGCCACACUGGGACUGAGACACGGCCCAGACUCCUACGGGAAGCAGCAGUGGGGAAUAUUGGACAAUGGGCGAAAGCCUGAUCCAGCAAUGCCGCGUGAGUGAUGAAGGCCUUAGGGUUGUAAAGCUCUUUUACCCGGGAUGAUAAUGACAGUACCGGGAGAAUAAGCGCCGGCUAACUCCGUG